rnacentral:lncRNA from 1 species
GCCUGGCAGCCCUCCCAUGGCGCUUUGCAGGGCACCUUCAUCCCCACAGAGCUGGGUUAAGUUUCUCUCCCUGGGGCAGGAACUCAGCUGCAGAGGCAGCAGGAAGGGGACAGAAGCCCGCCCCAAAGAGGGCUGGGGCAGGGGCACCCUUACGCCCGCCUGGUCUGGCCCAGCAGGGCUGCUGGCCCUUUGGGGGUAUGGAAAAGUCAGGAAGCAAUCCAAAGUUGGUAUUUAAAAAACUGAUUUCUAGAUACUUAGACGGUCAUAUGGUGUGAGGAGCUGGGGGCGCCCCAGGGUAGAGCCCACAAGAGGAGGAAGACUGAAAAGGGGUCGGAGUGG